rnacentral:rRNA from 1 species
GAUUAGCUUGUUGGCGGGGUAACGGCCCACCAAGGCAACGAUCAGUAGGGGUUCUGAGAGGAAGGUCCCCCACAUUGGAACUGAGACACGGUCCAAACUCCUACGGGAGGCAGCAGUGAGGAAUAUUGGUCAAUGGACGAGAGUCUGAACCAGCCAAGUAGCGUGCAGGAAGACGGCCCUAUGGGUUGUAAACUGCUUUUAUAAGGGAAUAAAGUGAGAGUCGUGACACUUUUUGCAUGUACCUUAUGAAUAAGGACCGGCUAAUUCCGUGCCAGCAGCCGCGGUAAUACGGAAGGUCCGGGCGUUAUCCGGAUUUAUUGGGUUUAAAGGGAGCGUAGGCCGGAGAUUAAGCGUGUUGUGAAAUGUAGACGCUCAACGUCUGCACUGCAGCGCGAACUGGUUUCCUUGAGUACGCACAAAGUGGGCGGAAUUCGUGGUGUAGCGGUGAAAUGCUUAGAUAUCACGAAGAACUCCGAUUGCGAAGGCAGCUCACUGGAGCGCAACUGACGCUGAAGCUCGAAAGUGCGGGUAUCGAACAGGAUUAGAUACCCUGGUAGUCCGCACGGUAAACGAUGGAUGCCCGCUGUUGGUCUGAAUAGGUCAGCGGCCAAGCGAAAGCAUUAAGCAUCCCACCUGGGGAGUACGCCGGCAACGGUGAAACUCAAAGGAAUUGACGGGGGCCCGCACAAGCGGAGGAACAUGUGGUUUAAUUCGAUGAUGCGCGAGGAACCUUACCCGGGCUUGAAUUGCAGAGGAAGGAUUUGGAGACAAUGACGCCCUUCGGGGCCUCUGUGAAGGUGCUGCAUGGUUGUCGUCAGCUCGUGCCGUGAGGUGUCGGCUUAAGUGCCAUAACGAGCGCAACCCCUCUCCUUAGUUGCCAUCAGGUUAAGCUGGGCACUCUGGGGACACUGCCACCGUAAGGUGUGAGGAAGGUGGGGAUGACGUCAAAUCAGCACGGCCCUUACGUCCGGGGCUACACACGUGUUACAAUGGCAGGUACAGAGAGACGGUCCCUUGCAAAACGGAUCAAAUCCUUAAAGCCUGUCUCAGUUCGGACUGGGGUCUGCAACCCGACCCCACGAAGCUGGAUUCGCUAGUAAUCGCGCAUCAGCCAUGGCGCGGUGAAUACGUUCCCGGGCCUUGUACACACCGCCCGUCAAGCCAUGAAAGCCGGGGGCGCCUAAAGUCCGUGACCGUAAGGAGCGGCCUAGGGCGAAACUGGUAAUUGGGGCUAAGUCGAAACAAGGUA